CUACGGGGCGCACCAGUGGGGAAUAUUGCACAAUGGGCGAAAGCCUGAUGCAGCAACGCCGCGUGAGGGACGACGGCCUUCGGGUUGUAAACCUCUUUUAGCAGGGAAGAAGCGAAAGUGACGGUACCUGCAGAAAAAGCACCGGCUAACUACGUGCCAGCAGCCGCGGUAAUACGUAGGGUGCAAGCGUUGUCCGGAAUUAUUGGGCGUAAAGAGCUCGUAGGCGGUUUUGUCGCGUCUGCUGUGAAAAUCCGAGGCUCAACCUCGGACCUGCAGUGGGUACGGGCAAACUAGAGUGCGGUAGGGGAGAUUGGAAUUCCUGGUGUAGCGGUGGAAUGCGCAGAUAUCAGGAGGAACACCAAUGGCGAAGGCAGAUCUCUGGGCCGUAACUGACGCUGAGGAGCGAAAGCGUGGGGAGCGAACAGGAUUAGAUACCCUAGUAGUC
rnacentral:rRNA from 1 species